CAGUAGCCGCGGGAAUACGUAGGGUGCAAGCGUUAAUCGGAAUUACUGGGAGUAAAGCGUGCGCAGGCGGUUAUAUAAGACAGAUGUGAAAUCCCCGGGCUCAACCUGGGAACUGCAUUUGUGACUGUAUAGCUAGAGUACGGCAGAGGGGGAUGGAAUUCCGCGUGUAGCAGUGAAAUGCGUAGAUAUGCGGAGGAACACCGAUGGCGAAGGCAAUCCCCUGGGCCUGUACUGACGCUCAUGCACGAAAGCGUGGGGAGCAAACAGGAUUAGAUACCCCAGUAGUCCCUGUCUCUUAUAC
rnacentral:rRNA from 1 species